GGUUCUCUCUGCACCAAGUCGGAAGAGAGAGAGAGAGAGAGAGAGUGGCUCUGCAGAAUCACCUCUCCACCGCGAUCUCUUCGUCUUCCUCCGCAUUCCUAUCUCCCUCCAACUUGGGCUCUUCCAGCCUGAGCUCAGCUUCGAUGAUCUGGAAAAAGGUGGAGGAUCGACACACGAUGAAGAGUUAAUCAUUGCCGCUGCACGUGAGCUCAUAGAGAAGAUGACAUGAUCCGAGACCUUGGAACAGUCAGUCAUGCCAACCUUGGAACAGCUUCAAUGAUCUGAAAGGGGCAAACAAAGGCGUCAGGGGCAACAAGAUCCUCACUCCAACCAGGCGUGCAUAGCCACUUCAACAGGCUAAACUGUUCCAUGGUCAUUUGCAAGAAGCUAGAUUGAUCUCCAUUGCCUUGCUUCAUGACAUCAGGUUAAACAUGUAAGAAAAAGAGCUGCCGCCUUUGAUAUGGUAUCUUCCACAAUGGUGUGGCCGUCGUGUUUUUUCGAUAGGUGAGUUAUGAGCGUGUCAUUCCGACCUCGAAAGGAUCGGUGUGCCACACCCCAUUACUGACUAUUGUGGAGGCACCGUUCACCUUCAUUACAAGAACGUUGCCCAUUCUCUCAUGAGCAACAUUGCUGACCUUCA